rnacentral:rRNA from 1 species
UACAGAGGGGGCAAGCGUUGUUCGGAAUUACUGGGCGUAAAGGGCGCGUAGGCGGCCCGCUAAGUCGAACGUGUAAUCCCCGAGCUCAACUCGGGAACUGCGUCCGAUACUGGCGGGCUUGAAUCCGGGAGAGGGAUGCGGAAUUCCAGGUGUAGCGGUGAAAUGCGUAGAUAUCUGGAGGAACACCGGUGGCGAAGGCGGCAUCCUGGACCGGCAUUGACGCUGAGGCGCGAAAGCUAGGGGAGCAAACGGG